rnacentral:rRNA from 1 species
CGGAUUGUAGUCUGUAACUCGACUACAUGAAGCUGGAAUCGCUAGUAAUCGCAGAUCAGAAUGCUGCGGUGAAUACGUUCCCGGGUCUUGUACACACCGCCCGUCACACCAUGGGAGUCGGAAAUGCCCGAAGCCGGUGACCAAACCAAUAAGGAAGGAGCCGUCGAAGGCAGGUCUGAUAACUGGGGUGAAGUCGUAACAAGGUAUC